ACCUAUGUUGCCUCGGCGGGCCCCGGGGGGGGGGACGGCCCCCCUGAACGCUGUCUGAAGUUGCAGUCUGAGACCUAUAACGAAAUUAGUUAAAACUUUCAACAACGGAUCUCUUGGUUCCGGCAUCGAUGAAGAACGCAGCGAAAUGCGAUAACUAAUGUGAAUUGCAGAAUUCAGUGAAUCAUCGAGUCUUUGAACGCACAUUGCGCCCUCUGGUAUUCCGGAGGGCAUGCCUGUCCGAGCGUCAUUGCUGCCCUCAAGCCCGGCUUGUGUGUUGGGCCCCGUCCCCCCCGCCGGGGGGACGGGCCCGAAAGGCAGCGGCGGCACCGCGUCCGGUCCUCGAGCGUAUGGGGCUUCGUCACCCGCUCUAGUAGGCCCGGCCGGCGCCAGCCGACCCCCAACCUUUAAUUAUCUCAGGUUGACCUCGGAUCAGGUAGGGAUACCCGCUGAACUUAAGCAUAUCAAUA
rnacentral:rRNA from 1 species